AUGAGUACUGCCGGCGGCCGCGCAUGCGUAGUGGCACGCGCUGGCGCCCUCCGCCGCCACCUGCUGGUGGAAAAUGAGUACUGCAGGCGGCCGGCGGACGCGCAUGCGCGGUGGCGCCCGAGGGCGCCCUCUGCCGCCACCGCCUGGUGGGAAGGAAGUACUGCAGGCGGCCGGGGGCAGCGCAUGCGCAGUGACGCCUGCGGGCGCCCUCUGCCGCCACCUGCUGGUGGAAAAAGAGUACUGCAGGCGGCCGGCGGCCGCGCAUGCGCGGUGGCGCCCACUGGCGCCCUCUGCCGCCACCUGCUGGCGGAAAAUGAGUACUGCACGUGGCCGGGGGGCGCGCAUGCGCAGUGGCGCCCGCGGGUGCCCUUUGCCGCCACCGCCUGGUGGAACAUGAGUACUGCAGGCGGCCGGCUGCCGAGCACGCGCGGUGGCGCCCGCAUGCACCCUCUACCGCCACCUCCUGCUGCGAAAGGGGUACUGCAGGCGGCCGGGGGCCGCGCAUGCGCGGUGACGCCUGCGGGCGCCAUCUGCCGCCACCUGCUGUCAGAAAAAGAGUACUGCAGGCGGCCGGGAGGCGCGCAUGCGUGGUGGCGCCCGCGGGCGCCCUCUGCCGCCACCUCCUGGUGGGAAGGGAGUACUGCAGGCGGCCGGAAAGCGCGCAUGCGCAGUGACGCCUGCGGGCGCCCUCUGCCGCCACCUGCUGGCAGAAAGCGAGUAUUACAGGCGGCCGGCGGCCGCGCAUGCGCGGUGGCGCCCACUGGCGCCCUCUGCCGCCACCUGCUGGCUAAAAAUGAGUACUGCACGUGGCCGGGGGGCGCGCAUGCGCAGUGGCGCCCGCGGGUGCCCUCUGCCGCCACCGCCUGGUGGGAAAGGGGUACUGCAGGCGGCCGGGGGCCGUGCAUGCGCGGUGGCGCCCGCGGGCGCCCUCUGCCGCCACCUGCUGUCAGAAAAAGAGUACUGCAGGCGGCCGGGAGGCGCGCAUGCGUGGUGACGCCUGCGGGCGCCCUUUGCCGCCACCUGCUGGCAGAAAGAGAGUACUGCAGGCAGUCGGUGCCGCGCAUGCGCGGUGGCGCCCGCGGACGCCCUCUUCCGCCACCUGCUGAUGGGAAAGCGGUACUGCAGGCGGCCGGGGGGCGCGCAUGCGCGGUGGCGCCCGCGGGCGCCCUCUGCCGCCACCUGCUGGUGGGAACGCGGUAG
rnacentral:lncRNA from 1 species